CCUACGGGUGGCAGCAGUGAGGAAUAUUGGUCAAUGGGCGCUAGCCUGAACCAGCCAAGUCGCGUGAAGGAUGACUGCCCUAUGGGUUGUAAACUUCUUUUAUCAGGGAAUAAAGUGCAGUACGUAUCCCCCUUUGCAUGUACCUUAUGAAUAAGGAUCGGCUAACUCCGUGCCAGCAGCCGCGGUAAUACGGAGGAUUCGAGCGUUAUCCGGAUUUAUUGGGUUUAAAGGGAGCGUAGGCGGGUUGUUAAGUCAGUUGUGAAAGUUUGCGGCUCAACCGGAAAAUUGCAGUUGAUACUGGCAGCCUUGAGUACAGUAGAGGUAGGCGGAAUUCGUGGUGUAGCGGUGAAAUGCUUAGAUAUCACGAAGAACUCCGAUUGCGAAGGCAGCCUGCUGGACUGUAACUGACGCUGAUGCUCGAAAGUGUGGGUAUCAAACAGGAUUAGAUACCCUGGUAGUC
rnacentral:rRNA from 1 species